rnacentral:rRNA from 1 species
UACGUAGGUGGCAAGCGAUACUCGGAAUCACUAGGCGUAAAGCGCAGGUAGGCGGUUUGGUAAGUCUGUUGUGAAAGCUCCCGGCUUAACUGGGAGAGGUCAACGGAAACUACCAGGCUAGAGUGCGGUAGAGGUAGCUGGAAUUCCCGGUGUAGCGGUGAAAUGCGUAGAUAUCGGGAGGAAUACCUAUGGCGAAAGCAGGCUACUGGACCGUCACUGACUCUGAUCUGCGAAAGCUAGGGGAGCAAACAGG